rnacentral:rRNA from 1 species
UAAGCAGAACGUGAAGCACACGGCUCAACCGUGUAACAUUUCUGAACUGAUUAACUAGAGGAUGAGAGAGGUUAUUGGAAUUUCUUGUGUAGGAGUGAAAUCCGUAGAUAUAAGAAGGAACACCGAUGGCGUAGGCAGAUAACUGGCUCAUACCUGACACUGAGGCACGAAAGCGUGGGGAGCAAACGGGAUUAGAUACCCCGGGUAGUCCACGCCGUAAACUAUGGAUGCUA